rnacentral:rRNA from 1 species
AACGAACGCUGGCGGCAUGCCUAACACAUGCAAGUCGAACGAGACCUUCGGGUCUAGUGGCGCACGGUUGCGUAACGCGUGGGAACCUUCCCUUAGGUUCGGAAUAACUCCCCGAAAGGGGUGCUAAUACCGGAUAAUGUCUUCGGACCAAAGAUUUAUCGCCUUUGGAUGGGCCCGCGUUGGAUUAGCUAGUUGGUAGGGUAAAAGCCUACCAAGGCGACGAUCCAUAGCUGGUCUGAGAGGAUGAUCAGCCACACUGGGAGUGAGACACGGCCCAGACUCGUACGGGAGGAAGAAGUGGGGAAUAUUGAAAAAGGGGGAAAAGCAUGAUCCAGCAAUGCCGGGUGAGUGAUGAAGGCCUUAGGGUUGAAAAGCUCUUUUAACCGGGAUGAUAAUGACAGUACCGGGAGAAUAAGCGACGGCUAACUCCGUG